AGGGGGUGCCUUUCAGGCAUCCUCUCCUAAAACUUUCCAAGGCCGCCCUUUUUGAGGCGGCCCUUUUUUUUGUCUUCG
rnacentral:sRNA from 1 species